AAAGAGAAUAUAACUUCAGUUCGUAUAUGCAUGGAAAUAUGGUCCAAGUGUCUCUACCGGGAGCCUUUAAACUACCCGACUACGAACGUUAUUUUGGUGUUU
rnacentral:ncRNA from 2 species